UUCAAAAUCGCUCUCCCCCUCGGUGCAUAGGCGGGAGCAGCGGAUAUGGCCGUCCGUCCCCAAAGGGGGUGCGGUCGGCUCAAAUGGGCACGAGGUCUGUCCCCUGUGUCACGACGAGCGGUGGCCCACGCGGGUUGGCGUUGGUUUGUGGCCGGCGGGUGCGGAUAUGUGUGGAACUUUAUCUUGGAGUUGUUGGCUUUUUGCCUAAUGUGCAGGCCGGACGGCUACCUU
rnacentral:precursor_RNA from 1 species